CACACUCUCUUUCUUUCUCUCUCUCUCUCUUUUCAACUGAAAAAUCCAGGAAACCAAAUCGUAAAUGAUUUAGGCGAAAAUCUUAUCGUACACUCUAAUAAUAUCAGGAACUUCAAAUAAAUACAGAACUCAAAGAUGAAAUGAAGUUUUUUCUUCAGAAAACUAGGGUUUCAAAUUUAUUUCGAAGGCGCAUGUAAUCGUCGCUCAAAAGAGAAGAUGAUUCUACUUUUCUGUGUUGCUUCCCCGAGUUAGAGAAGACAUCCUAAAAAAUUAACAGACACCGUUUUGAUCUCUAUGGAGCUCUUAAAAACUGGGUUUAAAAUCACAAGUAUUGCCUUGGUACUUUUGGUUUAGGGGAACUUCUCUGUCAGAGAUUAUUAAUUCGUAAAGGCACUGCUGGUUGGUGAAUUCUUGAGCUUGUAUAUAUGUACAUCAUGGGAAGUUUGUAAAUUAUUAACAAUAAGUUUAAAAGACGGAUCACUUUUGAGUUAUAUGAAAUGAAUUAGGUUGUAAAAAAUACUCUAUUGUUAUAAAUGAAAUGUUGCUACA